CAAACUCAGCAUCAUGUAAAGGCCCAGCAGUACUGCAGGCGCAUUCAGCUGUCUAGAGCCUUUCUCAGCUGGCACCACUGGGUCAUGGAAAAUAAGAGCCAAAAAGCAGCAGCAGCCCUAAAGCAUGGAGUUCAUUAUUUCCAGCUGGCUUUCAGCCUGUGGAAAAGGAGACUGGCCCAGAAAGUGGAAGCUGACCGGAGAUUCAGGUGUCACGUUCACCAGAUGACUGCUGAUGCUCUGUGGCAUUGGCAUUCCUGCUGGCAAAGGAGGCAUGCUCUGGGAGAACUGCAGCAGCGAUGGGCUUGGCACAGCUGCCAAGAGAAGAAGAGGCUGAU